GACGAACCGUGCGAACGUUAUUCGGAAUCACUGGGCUUAAAGCGCGUGUAGGCGGAUUGGUGCGUCGGCGCCUGAAAUCCCCCGGCUCAACCGGGGAACGCGGCCCGAAACGACCAGUCUCGAGGGACGUAGGGGGAUCUGGAACUUCCGGUGGAGCGGUGAAAUGCGUUGAGAUCGGAAGGAACGCCCGUGGCGAAAGCGAGAUCCUGGACGUCUUCUGACGCUGAGACGCGAAAGCUAGGGGAGCGAA
rnacentral:rRNA from 1 species